UUCCGCAAUGGGCGAAAGCCUGACGGAGCAAGACCGCGUGGGGGAAGAAGGCUCUUGGGUUGUAAACCCCUUUUCUCUGGGAAGAAAGUUGUGAAAGCAGCCUGACGGUACCAGAGGAAUCAGCAUCGGCUAACUCCGUGCCAGCAGCCGCGGUAAGACGGAGGAUGCAAGCGUUAUCCGGAAUGAUUGGGCGUAAAGCGUCCGCAGGUGGCAGUUCAAGUCUGCUGUCAAAGACCGGGGCUCAACCUCGGAAAGGCAGUGGAAACUGAACAGCUAGAGUAUGGUAGGGGCAAAGGGAAUUCCUGGUGUAGCGGUGAAAUGCGUAGAGAUCAGGAAGAACAUCGGUGGCGAAGGCGCUUUGCUGGACCAUAACUGACACUCAGGGACGAAAGCUAGGGGAGCGAAUGGGAUUAGAUA
rnacentral:rRNA from 1 species